UAUGGGGGGGGCAAGCGUUGUUCGGAAUUACUGGGCGUAAAGGGCUCGUAGGUGGCCAACUAAGUCGGACGUGAAAUCCCUCAGCUUAACUGGGGAACUGCGUCCGAUACUGGAUGGCUUGAGUUUGGGAGAGGGAUGCGGAAUUCCAGGUGUAGCGGUGAAAUGCGUAGAUAUCUGGAGGAACACCGGUGGCGAAGGCGGCAUCCUGGACCAACACUGACACUGAGGAGCGAAAGCCAGGGGAGCAAACGGG
rnacentral:rRNA from 1 species